rnacentral:rRNA from 1 species
CCUACGGGAGGCAGCAGUGGGGAAUUUUGGACAAUGGGCGAAAGCCUGAUCCAGCAAUGCCGCGUGUGUGAAGAAGGCCUUCGGGUUGUAAAGCACUUUUGUCCGGAAAGAAAUCCUUGACUCUAAUACAGUCGGGGGAUGACGGUACCGGAAGAAUAAGCACCGGCUAACUACGUGCCAGCAGCCGCGGUAAUACGUAGGGUGCGAGCGUUAAUCGGAAUUACUGGGCGUAAAGCGUGCGCAGGCGGUUUGCUAAGACCGAUGUGAAAUCCCCGGGCUCAACCUGGGAACUGCAUUGGUGACUGGCAGGCUAGAGUAUGGCAGAGGGGGGUAGAAUUCCACGUGUAGCAGUGAAAUGCGUAGAGAUGUGGAGGAAUACCGAUGGCGAAGGCAGCCCCCUGGGCCAAUACUGACGCUCAUGCACGAAAGCGUGGGGAGCAAACAGGAUUAGAUACCCUGGUAGUCCACGCCCUAAACGAUGUCAACUAGUUGUUGGGGAUUCAUUUCCUUAGUAACGUAGCUAACGCGUGAAGUUGACCGCCUGGGGAAGUCGGUCGCAGNUUAAAACUCAAAGGAAUUGACCGGNUGAGAGNGCGAGACGACGACGAGGAGAGG